rnacentral:rRNA from 1 species
GAGAGAUAAGUUCCGCGGUCAAAAGGGGAACACCCCAGAUCGUCUGCUAAGGUCCCCAAGUACGCGUUAAGUGGGAAAGGAUGUUGGAUUGCACAGACAACCAGGAUGUUGGCUUAGAAGCAGCCACACAUUCAAAGAGUGCGUAAUAGCUCACUGGUCGAGUGAUCCAGCGCCGAAAAUGUAACGGGGCUAAAACGCGACACCGAAGCAGCGGGAUGCGUAAGCAUCGGUAGAGGAGCAUUGUGUGAGGAUAGAAGCCGGAGCGAGAGCACUGGUGGACUUCACAGAAGAGAGAAUGCCGGUAUGAGUAGCGAGACCCAUGCGAGAAACAUGGGCGUCGAAGGCCCAAGGUUUCCUGGGGAAGGUUCAUCCACCCAGGGUAAGUCGGGACCUAAGCCGAGGACUGAGGUCGUAGGCGAUGGACAGCAGGUAGAGAUUCCUGCACCACUUACACUUGUUUGACGAAGCAGUGACACAGAAGGAUAGGACGAGCGCGGUGAUGGUCAACCGCGUAGGCGGCACAAGGCUGGGGAGCAGUAAAGUACACUUCCCGGGAAGGCUGAGUGUUGACAGGACCGAAAAAGAGUAGGGAAGCGUCUGAGUUCACGCUGGCGAGAAAAGCUGCUAAGGAGAGUGUGAGUGCCCGUACCGGAAACCGACGCAGGUGGGCGAGGAGAGAAUCCUGAGACGGACGGGAGAACUCUUGUUAAGGAACUCGGCAAAAUGACCCCGUAACUUCGGGAGAAGGGGUGCCUCGAAAGAGGCCGCAGAGAAUAGUCACAAGCGACUGUUUAGCAAAAACACAGGUAUCUGCGAAAGCGAGAGCUGACGUAUAGGUGCUGACGCCUGCCCGGUGCUGGAAGGUUAAGGGGAAGUGUUAGGGGAAACCCGAAGCAGAGAACCGAAGCCCCAGUAAACGGCGGCCGUAACUAUAACGGUCCUAAGGUAGCGAAAUUCCUUGUCGGGUAAGUUCCGACCCGCACGAAUGGCGUAACGACUUGUGAGCUGUCUCAACAGGAGGCCCGGUGAAAUUGAAGUAUGUGUGAAGAUGCACAUUACCCGCGACUGGACGGAAAGACCCCGUAGAGCUUUACUGUAACCUGACAUUGGAUCUUGAUAACGGAUGCACAGGAUAGGUGGGACGCUGGGAGGUAUGGACUUUGGUCUGUACGGAGCGGACGUUGGGAUACCACUCUUCUGUUAUUGAGAUUCUAACCUCAAGCCGUAAGCCGGAUGAGAGACAGUGUCAGGCGGACAGUUUGACUGGGGCGGUCGCCUCCGAAAGAGUAACGGAGGCGCCCAAAGGUACCCUCAGAAUGGAUGGAAACCAUUCGAAGAGAGCAAAGUCAGAAGGGUGCUUGACUGCGAGACCAACAAGUCGAGCAGGUACGAAAGUAGGGCUUAGUGAUCCGGCGGUAAGAGAGUGGAAUUGCCGUCGCUCAACGGAUAAAAGCUACCUCGGGGAUAACAGGCUGAUCUCCCCCAAGAGUUCACAUCGACGGGGAGGUUUGGCACCUCGAUGUCGGCUCA